rnacentral:lncRNA from 10 species
GCUUUCUGAAGAACUUGUGAGGAUGGUAAAGGAUAUGAAAACCUACUUUCCAUCAUGGAGACAUAGUAAACCAUAUUCUUUCUAUGCCUUCAACCAUGUCCUUCACUGUGUGGACAGCAUGCAAGCAAACAGUGAGAUUUUCCAGUUAAAACUCACUACCUCUAGCACAUACAACUAUGUUCAACUUGAGUUGCUAGACACUGUUGAUUCAGAACAUGCUUCCAAAAACACAGAUACUCUUGUGGCAAUUUUUUAUUGCCGUCUAGAAGGUUAGUCCUGAAAUUUUGUGUGUGUAUGUGUGUGUACAUACAUAUAUAUCUUGGAGUCCUCUCACUUUGCUGAAAUGUGUGCCUUUAAUAUAUGAGAGUGUUCUAUACACAUAAUACCCAGUCUCAGCUUUCUUUCUGGAGCAACUAUACCUGCAAAAGUAUCUUCACAGCAUGCGUAUGCUUCAGUGAAAUUCUUUUUUUUUCUUUCAUAACCCAUGGAGGUAAAGACACAGAAGAAGAGAAAUAAUACAGUAGUCCCACCUUAUCUGUGGUUUGGCUUUCUACAGUUUCAAUUACCUACAGUCAACUGUGGUCAGAAAAUAUUAAAUAGAAAAUUCCAGACAUAAUUCAUAAGUUGUAAAUGUAUACAGUGUUCUGAGUAACCUGAUGAAAUGUUGGGCAGUCCCACCUUCUUCUGCCCAGAGUAUCUGCUCUAUAGGUGCUCCCUGAUUGUUAGUCACUUAGGGUUAUCACCUGUCCCAGUAUUUCAGUGAUUUUGUUCAAGAAACUCUUACUGUAUUUCUUAAUGGACCCAAAGCACAAGAGUAGUAAUGCUAACAAUUAGAUAUACCAAAGAGAAGCCAUAGAAUGCUUCCUUUAAGUUGUUAAUAAGGAAAGAAAAUAUAUAUAUACUAAGCUGGCUAAGAUCUACAUUGUAAGAACCAAACUUCAUCUGUGCAGUUGUGAAGAAAAAAAAUUAAUGCAUAGCAUACACAGGGUUUGGUACUAUCCUCGAUUUCAGGCAUCAACCAGGCAUCUUGAAAUGUAGUCCCCAUGGUUAAGGGCAGGCUACUUAUUACUUAAUCUACAUUAUUCUCCUUUAGCCCUAUAUACACAGCUUUAUCCUAACAGAAUCUGAAUCUUGCUGUCUCACACUGGUUAAGAAGAUUCACUCUGGCUAUGGAGCUCCUCAAAUACUAGUGGAUAAAGUAAUUUUUACCACCACACACACUCCAAAGUGUGUUUUUCUUUAAUAGAGUGGCAGUUUAGAUAGUGGUGUCUUUGCUGGGUGACUGUCCUCAAGAUCUGGUUGGAAUAUCAUUCUUAAUGUAUUUGCAUACAGGAUAUAAUUCCUUGUUGAUACAUACCAAAAAGGCUUGAUGUUUGUAGGCCACCUUCUCUUUGAACAUUCAUUCACUACAUUUUGUAUUCAAAUGGAGACUACAAAGGGAGAGAUUUUACUGGGGCACCAAGAAACUCUGAGGAAGAUAAAUAUGUUCUUUAUCGUGAUUAUUGUAAUGUUUCCUAGAUGCAUACGUAACAAUUUAUCAAAUGUUGC